UAGGAAAUAGUAUAAUUGGGAGUACGCAGAGUUUUGAUCUCUGGAGAGUAGGUUCGAGUCCUAUUUUUCUAA
rnacentral:tRNA from 1 species